rnacentral:rRNA from 1 species
UACGUAGGGCGCGAGCGUUGUCCGGAAUUAUUGGGCGUAAAGAGCUCGUAGGCGGCUUGUCACGUCGGGUGUGAAAGACCGGGGCUUAACUCCGGUUCUGCAUUCGAUACGGGCUAGCUAGAGUGUGGUAGGGGAGAUCGGAAUUCCUGGUGUAGCGGUGAAAUGCGCAGAUAUCAGGAGGAACACCGGUGGCGAAGGCGGAUCUCUGGGCCAUUACUGACGCUGAGACGCGAAAGCGUGGGGAGCAAACAGG